rnacentral:rRNA from 1 species
GUAGGUGGCAAGCGUUGUCCGGAAUUAUUGGGCGUAAAGCGCGCGCAGGCGGGUCCUUUAAGUCUGAUGUGAAAGCCCACGGGCUCAACCGUGGAGGGUCAUUGGAAACUGGGGGACUUGAGUACAGAAGAGGAAAGCGGAAUUCUAAGUGUAGCGGUGAAAUGCGUAGAGAUUUGGAGGAACACCAGUGGCGAAGGCGGCUUUCUGGUCUGUAACUGACGCUGAGGCGCGAAAGCGUGGGGAGCAAACAGGAUUAGAUACCCUGGUAGUCCACGCCGUAAACGAUGAGUGCUAAGUGUUAGGGGGUUUCCGCCCCUUAGUGCUGCAGCUAACGCAUUAAGCACUCCGCCUGGGGAGUACGGCCGCAAAGGCUG